AAUAGAUACCCGGAUAGUCCACGCCGUAAACGAUGAGUGCUAAGUGUUAGGGGGUUUCCGCCCCUUAGUGCUGCAGCUAACGCAUUAAGCACUCCGCCUGGGGAGUACGGUCGCAAGACUGAAACUCAAAGGAAUUGACGGGGGCCCGCACAAGCGGUGGAGCAUGUGGUUUAAUUCGAAGCAACGCGAAGAACCUUACCAGGUCUUGACAUCCCAUUGACCACUAUGGAGACAUAGUUUUCCCUUCGGGGACAACGGUGACAGGUGGUGCAUGGUUGUCGUCAGCUCGUGUCGUGAGAUGUUGGGUUAAGUCCCGCAACGAGCGCAACCCUUGUUCUUAGUUGCCAUCAUUUAGUUGGGCACUCUAAGGAGACUGCCGGUGACAAACCGGAGGAAGGUGGGGAUGACGUCAAAUCAUCAUGCCCCUUAUGACCUGGGCUACACACGUGCUACAAUGGACGGUACAAACGGUUGCCAACCCGCGAGGGGAGCUAAUCCGAUAAAACCGUUCUCAGUUCGGAUUGUAGGCUGCAACUCGCCUACAUGAACG
rnacentral:rRNA from 1 species